GGAAAUGCCACAUCUUCGAGGCAACUGCAGCAAACAUUCAGUCACAUGCUCACCUGAAAUGUGAGGAUGGAGCCCCUGCAAAGGAAUCUCAUCUGCCCAUAGGAGCGUGUGGUGAUGGUUCCAGCACAGUGCAGGGAAAUGAGGCUUGACACCACAAUCAGGUUAGAUCACUACCAUGGCACGGACGGACGGGGGGGGUGGGGGGAACUCACAUCACUCAUUUCUUUGAAACUGCAGAAACAUCCGGUUUCAGCCUCAUCUUGGCAGUGACUAUUCUGUUACCUAUGAACAUUCCAAGAUUAGCUGAGGUGAUGCCC